rnacentral:misc_RNA from 1 species
GAUGAAGAACGCAGCGAAAUGCGAUACGUAGUGUGAAUUGCAGAAUUCAGUGAAUCAUCGAAUCUUUGAACGCACAUUGCACCUCUCGGUAUUCCGGGAGGUAUGCCUGUUCGAGCGUCAUUUGUACCCUCAAGCUCUGCUUGGUGUUGGGUGUUUGUUCCGCCUCUGUGUGUGAACUCGCCUCAAAACAAUUGGCAGCCGGCGUACUUGUUUCGGAGCGCAGCACAUUUUGCGAUCCAGAUCAACGUACAGCGGCAUCCAAGAAGCCUUAUUUAACGCUCUUGACCUCGGAUCAGGUAGGGAUACCCGCUGAACUUAAGCAUAUCAAUAACGGAGGA